rnacentral:lncRNA from 1 species
AAAAAAAAAAAACCUAAAAUAUUUAAAAGUGCUUUAUUUUAAAAGUUUCCAAAUGGAACACAAAAUUAUUUGAAGUGUCCUUUAAAGUUAUUGCUAAAAUCAGCUAAACCUACAAGUAGAAUUGAACUUACAAGUUAAACUCAAAAACUUAAUGAUAAAGUAAGAAUUUGAAUUGGUAACUUAAAGAAACCCAACAUUAAUUUUGGAAAUAAAAGAGAAUAUCUAAAAAGUAUUUUGUGUCUAUGAAAGUCACCCUUCUAGUCAGCUGAAAUUGCUCAAUUGGGAGAGCAUUAGACUAAAAUGUCACCCUUAAGUUCAACAAAAAGAUAAAAUACAAUUCAGAAGGCAAAAGUAGUAAGAAUAAAGGCAAAGAGUUACAAAAUAGCCUGACAUCUUCAAAAAACUGGGGUGUAGAAUGCAUGUGGGGAGAAAUAGUAAAUCAGUUAGAGAAGGUGGUGGAAGGUAGACAAGAAAGAAAUCUUAUGCUAAGCGCUUUCGAAAUUCCUCACAAUCAAUAGGACGUCUGAUUCAAUGUUGAUAGAAAUAUUGGGUGAGCAUCGUUGUGUUGUUCUUCAAGGGGGAAACAUGCUGUCUUUCACUGGUAAGUGUAAUGGUUGGUAGUUGAAAUUUUUCAUCAAUGCCCUUUUUCAGGUUGAUAAGUUUCUAUUUCUACUGAGAUUUUUAUCAUGAAUGAAUGUAGAAUAUAGUAGAAUUUUUUGAGCGUAUCGAGAAGAUCAAUAACUUUUUUCUUUUUCAUCUGUCGAUAUAGUCUAUUACACUGAUUGAUUUUCAAAUGUGGAACCAAUCUUGUAUUCUGAGGAUAAAACCCACAUGGCUCUGGUGUAUAAUUCCUUUUAUGUUUUGCUGAAUUCAAUUUACUAAUAUUUUGCUAAGAGUUUAUCUGCCUAUGUUCAUGAGAGAAAUAUUGUUUUCAGUUUUCUUAUAAUGCCUUGGUACAGCUUUUAUAUUAGGACAAUGCUGGCCUCAUGAAAUAAGUUGGGAAGUAUACAUAUAUCUUCUAUUUUCUGGAAGAGUUCGAAUAAAAUAAGUAUUAAUUCUUCUUUAAAUGAUGGGAAGAAUUCAUCGAGGGAAUCACCUAGACUUGGAAUUCUCUGAUAUUUUUACCCAUAAAUUUAAUUUAUUCAACAGACAAAAUGUUAUUCUGCUCCUCUAUUUUUCUUUCUUGAGUGAGCACUGGCAGUUUGUGUUUUUAAGAGAUUUAUUCAUUUCAUCAAUACUUCCAAAUGUGUUGGCAUAACGUUGGUGGUAGUCUUUCCUCAUCCUGUUGUAGCACUUACUGUGAUGUCCCCUUUCUCUCUUCUGACAUUGGUCAUUUUUAAUUUCUUUUUUUUCUGUUUUCUUUGAAAGAGCCAUCUUGGAUUUUAGUGGUUUGUCUGUAUUUAUUUUUCUGUUUUAAUUAUUUUUCCAUGUUUUUUUUUUCUUCCAAUUGCUUUGUGUUUAAUUUGCCCUUAUUCUGUUUUCCUAGGGUGGAAGCUUAGUUCAUUGACUUCAAAAUUUAUUGUUUUUUUCAACUAUAAGUAUUUAAUGCUAAGAAUUUCUCUCUAAAUACUAAAUACUGCUUUACCUGUACCCCACAAAUAUUGGUAUGGUAUGUUUUUAUUUCCAUUUAAUUCAAAAUAAUUUCUAAUUACUUGGUGCUAUGGUCACUGGAGGUUGGUAAGAAUUUUUGUUCUCUGCCCCAGCCUCAGUACUAGAAAGAUUCCAUGUCUCUGGGCCUUAAAAGUAGGGCUUUCUCAGCAUUUCUGCUGCCACUUUAUUAGAGGUUGAAUUGUGUCCCGCUCAGAAUUGGUACUGGUAACCCCUAGCAUCGCAGAAUGAAACCUUAAUUGGAAAUAAGGUCAUUGCAGAUGUAAUUAGUUGAGAAGAGGCUAUUAGGGUGGGCCCUAAUUCAAUGUAACUGAUACUCUUAUCCUCCUAUCAGAAGUAUUUGUUUUUUGCCUGGGUCCCUGUGGCUUGAGUGUUUCCUGUACUCUCCCAAAAACCAACAGUUUGAGAAGGGUGCCUUGUAUGACAGAAGAGGCCUGGGCAGUGGGCGAGGCUUUAUGCCCCACCCCAGCAGCAGCUGAUUUCCACCCGCUCACCUGCACCACUGAGGGGGAACUCUCUUCAGUCUCCUGCCCUGCCUGCAAUCCCUUCAUCUUUCAUAGGAGCUUUAUUUUUUAGGUGGGGCUUGUGAAAAAGAGCUUGCCAGUGCCUAUAAACUUCUUCAUGUGAGAGUUUCCAGUCUUUCUUAACUGAUAUGAUAACCCACAUUCAGCCUUUAAGAAUUAUUUUAACAUUUGAGCAGAUUUCUUUCUUAUCUGAGUCUAUGGCACCAGCCACUUCCUCCCAUGUUCCAUCAAAGGUAAGGAGUUUGUUUGUCCGUCUUCGCUCCUCAGAGGAGCUGACCCUUUGGAAUUCUGCCCAUUUUGUUGCUUUCAAAUCUCAGGUCCCGGUGGGCUCAAGAAAAGCAAUCAUUUUGUGCAUGAUCUGGCUUCUAUCUUAUUGUUGAGGUGGAAACAAUGGUAAUAUGGGUGUGUGUAUUUCUACCUUCUAGGUAGAAAUUGAACAAAAGCAUUCUUUGCUAUUAUACCUGGGUUGUUCUUCACUGUUCCCUGGGAAUCUGUUACGGAAAUUAUGCUGAGCUAAUAAUUCUGAUGGGAUGAUCUUCACUCAUGCAGACUGUGGCGUCAUGUAGAAGGAAGGCUAAUAUGGAUGUGAGGUUCAAGAUCAAGAUGGGCAACUGAUGGUCAGACUCCAGUGGUUCUUCAAAACUUUCUAGGAGGUAAACAAGAUGAAAGGGAAAGCACACAAAUUUGCUGGAAUUUGGAAAACACGAACCCUGGAAUUUGGAGGAGUCACUUCCACUGGAAAAUACUUUUAUAUUAUUUAUAGUGGCUACCAUUACCGUGCUCACUUUACAGGUGAGGUUCAGAGAUUUAUGUAACAUGCCAAAGGUCACACAGCUGGACACAGCAGAACCAAGAUUCAAAUCUGCACAGGACAUCUUGAAAAGACUAUCAUCUGUAAACCAGGAAGAGGGCCCUUUUCAGACACUGAAUCUUCUGGCACCUUGCUUUUGGACAUUCCAGCCUCCAGAACUGUGAGAAAUAAAUGUCUGUGGUUUAAGCCACCUGGUCUAUGGUAUUUGUUAUGGCAACCCAAGCUGACUAAGACAGUAGGGUUUGUAAAAUUAUGUGAAUUUUUUGUUUGGCAUUUAACGAUAUGUUUUGAAAUAAGAAAAUGAUAACAUGAAAAUAAGACUCAGUCUCAAACCUAAUGGAACUAGACACAAGGAAGAGAAGUAGGUAGGCUGAAAGGGUGACAUUUAGUCUCAAUUGGACACACAAAGUGUGCAGAUGUGAGUCUAAUUUGAAGUAAAAUGACAGAAUUAAUAACUAUAUAUAAGUGGUGGAUAAAUAGCUUCAAUGAUUACAUCAACAAAGUGCAUCAUGUUGCAGGUCCAUCGUAUAUGUGCAUCUUGAAUAAAUUUAUUUCCUUCGUAUAACUGUCAUUUCCAUUGUCUGACAUAUUUAGGGAUUUUAACGUGGUAUGAAAAUAGGGCACUUUCUGUGGUUAUAGUCAUAAUCAUAGCAAUGGAUUAGUAGUAGCAGAAGUUCCAGUAUUAGUAGAAAUAGUGAAAAACAGUACAACAGCAGUAAAGUAAAAUAACGCUAUUGUAUUACAUUAAAUGUGAUAAUGCACACAACGUUCUAUAACCUAUUAAGCUUGAGACAAAUGUUAAUUAUUUUCUGCAUUGUUGUAUGGUCUCCAUUUUGCAAUAAAUGCUCAAUUAUGCAUU